GCGGCGAAGAGACGACACCAUGUGUGGGUGUCUGCAUGCAGUGGUGGGGGGCGAAGCUCUGACCAUUUGGACUGCCAUUUUCGCUAAAAAAUUUAUAUGGAUUCGCGUGGGUUUGGUGGCUUAGAUGGCCUGGGAUGGGCUUGGCUUGUGGCUUUGCGCUGGCCUCCAUCCCACGCUUAUUUAAUUGCUGCAGAGAGAGGUCCUGUUCUUGUCCGGGGGAAUAGUCCUUUACGAACGCACAGGACGCGUGUAAGCUGUUUGUGGAAUUGGCGAUUUGGGUUGCAGUAGACGAAUGAGGUGUCUUUUCCUGGUCAAACCAGGUCGCAAUGCGUCCGAAGGGUCUUGCCAAGCAUGAGAUUGGUGCAACGGAUUGUGAUGUCACCAAAUUGGUCAUCUUGGCAGGUUAUGGCUUUUACGUUGGUUUUGAGGUCCCACAUACUGUACAAGUUGAACACUGUGAGCAAAUUGGGGCUAGAUCACAGAGUCUGGAAUGGUGACGACACUAGAAUUACGGUCUCUUAUUGUCCCCAUGCAACGCAAUCUCGGAAAACCAUGGUCAGGAUAUCAUGCUGUUUUUGAUCAAACAGUGUUUGUAUGCAUGAUACGUGUAUUGCAUUGCAGGCAAUUUUUUUUUUUGAUCGAGAAUUAAUUGGCUUUUUGCGAGCAAAAUGAGCAGAAUGUGCUUUGGACGAAGGUAUCUCUAAAUAUUCAAAGUUUUCUAUCCAAAGUGAGUUGUCAAGCUAUUUAUUG